rnacentral:rRNA from 1 species
UGCGUAGAGAUCGGGAGGAAUACCAGUGGCGAAGGCGGCCUUCUGGACUGACACUGACACUGAGGUGCGAAAGCGUGGGUAGCAAACAGGAUUAGAUACCCUGGUAGUCCACGCCGUAAACGAUGUCGACCAGCCGUUGGGUGCCUAGCGCACUUUGUGGCGAAGUUAACGCGAUAAGUCGACCGCCUGGGGAGUACGGCCGCAAGGUUAAAACUCAAAUGAAUUGACGGGGGCCCGCACAAGCGGUGGAGCAUGUGGUUUAAUUCGAUGCAACGCGAAGAACCUUACCUACUCUUGACAUCCUGCGAACUUGUGAGAGAUCACUUGGUGCCUUCGGGAGCGCAGAGACAGGUGCUGCAUGGCUGUCGUCAGCUCGUGUUGUGAAAUGUUGGGUUAAGUCCCGUAACGAGCGCAACCCUUGUCCUUAUUUGCCAGCGGGUAAUGCCGGGAACUCUAAGGAGACUGCCGGUGACAAACCGGAGGAAGGUGGGGACGACGUCAAGUCAUCAUGGCCCUUACGAGUAGGGCUACACACGUGCUACAAUGGCCGGUACAAAGGGUUGCGAGCUCGCGAGAGUCAGCUAAUCCCGAAAAGCCGGUCUCAGUCCGGAUCGGAGUCUGCAACUCGACUCCGUGAAGUCGGAAUCGCUAGUAAUCGUGAAUCAGAAUGUCACGGUGAAUACGUUCCCGGGCCUUGUACACACCGCCCGU